rnacentral:rRNA from 1 species
CUAAGGUAGCAUAGUCAUUUGCUAUUUAAUUGGUAGCUGGAAUGAAAGGUUAAACUAGCUUAUUAGGUUUGUGAGGUUGUAUGGAAGCUUAAAGUUAAGGUAAGAAUUCUUUGAUUUUCUAGGGGACGAUAAGACCCUAGAAGCUUAAUGAGUGGUUAGUUAGUUUUAAAGGUUUAUUUGUUUUACUGGGGCGGUAAAAGCAAUUAAACUAUUUGUUAGUUAAAGGAUCCUUAAAAUAUAGAAAAAAUGGUGAAGUUACUCUAGGGAUAA